rnacentral:rRNA from 1 species
GUGGGGAAUAUUGGGCAAUGGGCGAAAGCCUGACCCAGCAACGCCGCGUGAAGGAAGAAGGUUUUCGGAUCGUAAACUUCUAUCCUUGGUGAAGAUAAUGACGGUAGCCAAGAAGGAAGCCCCGGCUAACUACGUGCCAGCAGCCGCGGUAAUACGUAGGGGGCAAGCGUUGUCCGGAAUGAUUGGGCGUAAAGGGCGCGUAGGCGGCCCGGUAAGUCUGAAGUGAAAGUCCUGCUUAUAAGGUGGGAAUUGCUUUGGAUACUGUCGGGCUUGAGUGCAGGAGAGGUAAGCGGAAUUCCCGGUGUAGCGGUGAAAUGCGUAGAGAUCGGGAGGAACACCAGUGGCGAAGGCGGCUUACUGGACUGUAACUGACGCUGAGGCGCGAAAGUGUGGGGAGCAAACAGGAUUAGAUACCCGGGUAGUCC